rnacentral:lncRNA from 10 species
CGACGCGCGCCCAUUGGCCGACUCGGCUGCGGGCGUCCCCGUGGCCACGUGACAAUAACACCGCUCCAGCCGGGGGCCUACGCGCGGGAGAAAGUGGAGCUGAGAUUGUAGGAAAUUCAGAGUUAUAUUUUCCAGCCUCUCCAGCCAGAAGUCUCCACUACGUCGUGGGAAACAUAUAUCAAAUGGAGUUGAAAGGCAAAAGGAAGUGAUCAGCGCCACAAGAUGUUGAAACUAAUGGAGACCGCAGAGAUCAUGUGCUAAGGGGCCUUCCUCCUCUGGGGUGGGAGAAGGAAUGUUCUCUGGAGAAAUCUGUAUGAUAGAAUAGUGAAGGUAACUGGCCUGAACUACAGCUCUUGAGCCAUCUGGUUUCACCUUCAGGGAGGUCCCACUGAAGCUGAAUGACUGUGCAGGUUGAUACACUGGACAUUUUCGGUGAAACCUGUGUGAACAGACAACUGGAGGGUCAGAUGAUUUAUCCUCUCCCCAGUACCUUGGCACAAGCCUAGGCUACAGAAUGAGAUGCACGUAAGAAGUCUGUGACCUGGACCAGAGCAGCCCAGCUGAACACAUGCUGGAUUGGAAGAACCACCUUUGACCUGAAGACCUUGAGAAAGGAGUUUGGAGACAGAAAGACGGAAGAGUUGAUAUUCCGCUCACAGAUGUCAAUUUUCAAAGAAAUUUCUGCCCAUUAUGGAUGCACCACAAAUACUAAAGUCUAUGCAAUAUAUAUUUUGAAAAGAAUUUUUUUCGUGAAACUGUAAUUUUCGUUCAUAAGAGUAUAUUUCCUGACUUAGCAUUUUAUUGACUAGAUUAAAAUUUUGUUCCCCAAAGUAAGUGUGUGUGUGUGUGUGUGUGUGUGUGUGCACGCACACGUGUGUGUGCAUUCCUGAGGAUUAUUCUAAGGCUGAACUCCUUCAUAGAAAUGGAAUUUUUCUCUCUAUGCUCACAUUUUAAAACAGCUCACACAAGCCAGGCAGAAACUGCCAACCCCUUGGUUUCUAAUUCUUUGUGCUAGUUCUAUUAGAAGGGGCAAGUGUAAUCUGACAAUGGGAAACAAUACACCCUUUCUCAUAUUCUUUAUCAACAUACAUAAACUGGAAGAAAGAAAAAGAAAGAGAGGGGUACAGAGGGAGGAAAGGAGGAAGAAAAAAGAUAGGAGGGGAAGUAGGAAGAGAGGAGAAGGGGACUGUAGUGGGGGAAAGAGAGGAGAGACAGAAUCUUUCCACUAAAGUUAGCAUCUGAGAGAGAGGCCCACGGAAUUGAUUUUUUUUUUUUUAUCCCUUUGGCAAACCAGCAUUUGGUCUUUGCUUUGGUUAUCCUGAGAUAGUGCUUUGUUUACCUGAGCUAGCUGGCCAUCUCAGCUGUGACAAUUUAAAAUUAGGCCACUAUUUAUAAUUCAAGCUAUGUGUAAACAAAACAAAACACAAUACAACCAAUGAAGGAGGUUUGUUUGUUUGUUUUUUUAAAAGGUAGGGGCAUUUUGUAAAUCAGACAGAGAUAGCUUUCUUGAAUAAAAUGACAUUUUUAGUUAUUUCUUUGUCUUGAACUUUCUCCUGAGACACCUUCUGGCUCACUAGUCACGAGGAACUGAAGAGGAACUGAAGGAAUUCUAAACAUCCCCAAAGCCUCUAGUGAUUCUCCAGAUGUGUCUUUUCAAGAGGCUGGCGACUUGUAGGGAGGGUGGAUAUACCUUAAUUAUUCAGUCACUUUUAACGUUUUACCUAAACUAUUUGUCAAAUAAGUAGUUUUUGCAUUGCUUUAACUGUAUACAGCCAUCAUUUGAUUAUACAUUCUAUCAAAGAUUGAUUGCCUGAUUUCAGGUUUAAUUUUAAGAUUUAAAUGACUGACUCCUUAGCUUGCUCAGUUGUAUUCUUUGUCUCUGAUUACUUACUCCAUAGAACACUGCUUACCUUUAAAUAAAAUGUAUUAAACUCCUUUGUUUUCAGAAUCUCUAAUAUUCAUGCCUAUUGGGGAUUCAUACCCUAAUAACUUGGGCUACUAGUCUGUCAUAAAAUAUAAACUCCAGCCAUAUUAAAUAUGGUAGACUUGCCCUAAAAGUCAGAUUUAUACCUUCAAUAUACCAUGGAAUUUGUAAUACAAAUAAAUUCCUUUUUUUAUAUUGGUUUUAAAAUAAGAAAUUGUAGUCUCUUGAGUUCUAGAGUUUCUGUAAGAACAACAGAAGGAAUGCUCAGCUAAUGUUUAGUACCCAUAUGCUUCAUUAAAGUGACCAGAUGUCCUGCAUUUGUCAAGGGAAAAGGGGAAUUGUUUUCUUCUCUCUCAAAUAUCUCCUUCAAAAAGUCUAUCAUGGAUACAUUUUGUGCCUUCACUGCCCUUUUUAAAUAAUUAUUAUUCAUGCCUUACUAUAAGAACAUUACAACUGGUAACAAACUGCUUUUAAACUUGGGGUUUCAGAUUUUCUAAAG